ensembl:lncRNA
AUGCCCGGGAGCUCCGAAUCUCGGGCUUUCCGCGCGGCCCUCCUGGGAGGGCCAGAUUCAAAGCUCCAAUUAUCCGCGCGAGGCUGGGAACUGCAUCAUCAGCAUCUCCCGCUAAGCCGGUCCGAACUGGAGGAGGUGGCGGGGGCGUUCGGGGGCGCUCCUCCGGCCGGAGUCGAUGCGCGGGACUCAGGAAGAGAGGCGCGCUCCAGGCGCGGGGGACCCAGCCGCCGGCGCACGGCGGCCCUUCGGGAAGGUAGGGAACAACCACGCUGGGGUCUCCCGCGGGGCGCUGUCAGCCGGAUCCCGCGGGGGGCGGGUCUGCACGCGGGGGCGCCUGUCCUGGGGACCUUUCCCGCCCAGGCAGGGAGCGCUCCCGGCGCCCUGCCACCGCCUGCGGGGACCGAGCGCCGCCACGCGAGGGGGCGGCGCCCCCGUGCUAGCCCCGAGACUGGGACCCGGACUGUCUGCUGCCGGUUGGGNNNNNNNNNNNNNNNNNNNNNNNNNNNNNNNNNNNNNNNNNNNNNNNNNNNNNNNNNNNNNNNNNNNNNNNNNNNNNNNNNNNNNNNNNNNNNNNNNNNGACUGUCUGCUGCCGGUUGGGGCUCCUUCUGCCCAGCACCGCGCCCCUUAGGCAGAAGGCGGCCCAAGAGCCCAGAAUCCUCCAAGAUGCCCCCUGCCCGCCCCAAGAUCCGGCUACGGGGACACCAGCCAGCAACCUGCCAGUGCGCCCCGUACCGUGGCCUCGUCUCUGGCGCGCAAGACCCGGGAGAACGCCCCCAUCCCAACCCAACUCCCCAGCCCUGCUCGCCUGGUACCCGCCUUUCCAGUCUCCCNNNNNNNNNNNNNNNNNNNNNNNNNNNUCUCCUGCCGCUGGCCCUUCGUCAAAGCUCUCUCCACACACACCCCCAGCCAGACCCUCAGAGGCUGGGUCCACCUCCCCGCUGCGAUCCUCAUCCCCAGCCUGGUCAAGCCAAAGGGCGCAGGGCAGCCGGCGAUGCCGCCGGGGAACUCACCCGCUCUCCCGAGCCCUGCCCCGGGCGGCUCCCGGCCCUGGCUCGGUCCUUCAGUCCCCGAGCCGCAGCUGCCGGUGCGGCGACAGAAGCCAGCUCUGCACGGCCGCGGGCCUCCGCGCCGCCCCUCGGCUCCUCCCCCGAGGCGGGGCCUGAGCUCGCGGGAAGGGGGUGGGCAUCCUCUCGGCUCGACCUGGACGGCACGCGAGCUCCCGGCAAGGGUCUCUCAUCCCCCUCCACCACCACCUCUGAGCAGCUAGAAAUUGAAAGCAGGUGAGACGCGACCAGGGGUCGGGAAAGAGUUUUCCUUACGGUCUUCCUCCCACCCUUCAACAUCACCGCUUUGGAAAGGGGGAAGCCCAGGACGGUAUUCUUGCUCCCAUUUGAUGGAAGGGCAUCACGAAGCCCAGAGAGCUGCAGUCAACCACCCAAAGUCACACAGCAUNNNNNNNNNNNNNNNNNNNNNNNNNNNNNNNNNNNNNNNNNNNNNNNNNNNNNNNNNNNNNNAGGACGUCAAGGAGCCCAGCCAGGGUUUGCCCUGGGGACAGGUCUGUGGGAGCUGGUCCCCCAGCUGAGGGGUAGGAGACGAGAGCCAGACUAGUGGGAGCAUGGGGGGCCGUGGCCUGCGACGUAGAAUCACAUCGUUUCCUCUUUCUGGGAGGGACCGAGUUGUAGAGGAGGAGGAAGGAAGUGGUUGUACCUCCACUGACGUCUGCCCCUGGUUGGGAGGUGCAGGAUCUAGAAAGGGGCUGCCUUCCUGAGAUCUAACGCUUAAAAUAGAAAGCAAAACACAACCCGUGGCCCCUGUCAUCUAACCCAAUCCUUUUUCCUGGGUUGAAGGCCCCUGCACUCAGCACCAUCUUUUCUCUACAGGACAAGGUAUUGAGAAGCCCCUUCUCUCCACCCUACCCCCCAGGAAGAGGAGAGAAAGUUAACAAACAAAGGGGAAACAAAUCCANNNAUCCCCAAACAUUCUCUGGAAUCCACACUCGCUGAACACUGGCUUUAGAACAAUAGAGUUCUCUUCUGCACAAAGGGCCUUGUUUCCUGAGCUUUCCCGGCCUCCAGAUUAGAGCCUGAGGCACCCCAGGGCCAGCCAGAGGGGCGCAGAGAAGGCUUAGGUUUGAGGAGUUCCGGGAUGAUAGUUCAGUUCCUAGCAGUCUUGUUCAAAGAACUCCUUUACUCGGUACUAUAUAGCAACCUUCUUCAGAGGCUGACACUAUAACCUGAGUUUAGCGAUUUCCUGUUUGCUAAGAAAAACCCCAUAACCUUUGCUGGGGAAGCAAAAACCCCUGGAUUGUGUUUAUUCUCUGCCCCCAACCUCCCCGGGUUUCUCUGAAAGCCAGCUCCCCAAUUUGCCCCCUGGCUUCCUCUCAGUUCAUUAAUAAUCCAGUUUUGAAUGACACUGUUUCAAAGUAGAGCAAUUAGAGAGCAGAACAGGUGGGGAAGAUGUUUAAAGUAACCCUAGGCGAUCAUUGUUCUCUGCAGAAUGUUUCCAUUGAUUUAUCCUGAAGAGCUGUAGGCUGAAAGAGCAGAAGUCCGUCUCUCCCAGGCUUGCAUAGAACUUGGAGCCUGCCUUCCUAAAAUGAUGCCUUGAGUAUGGGCCCAGAUCCCAGUGCUGUGCUGUUCAUUUACACCAUUCAUAACAUUUUGAUAUUGAAGAUAAGUAUACUCAGAAUUGGGUGGAAGACUCAUACUUCCUGAUUUCAAAAUUUACCACAAGGCUACAAUAAUCAAGACUGCAGUACGGUAUAAGGAUAGAUGGGGAUCAAUGGAAUAAAACAGAUUCCAGCUAAACCCCUUUUAGGACCAAUUGCUUUUCAAUGAGUGACAAGACAAUUUAAAGAAUCAUCUUUUCAACUAAUGGUGCUGGAUGACUGGACUUCCAUAUGCCAAUAAAUAAAUAAAUAAAUAAAUGAGGUUGGACCCCCUACCUCACACCAUACACAGAAAUUAACUCAAAACGAUAAGGCUGCAUCGUAAGAGCUAAAACUAUGAAACUCAGAGGAAAACAUAGACAUAAGUCAUGACCUUGGAUUAAGGCUCACAAUGGACGUGAAUCUGAGUGAACUCCAGAAGUUGAUGAUGGACAGGGAGGCCUGGCGUGCUGCANNNNNNNNNNNNNNNNAGAGUCGGACACAACUGAGCGACUGAACUGACUGACUGACUGACUGACUGGAUUAAGCAGUGUUUCUUAGCUAUGGCACCUCAAGCAGAAGCAACAAAGGAAAAAAGAGACAAUUUGGACUUGACUAAAAUUAAAAUGCUUUAUAGAGGACACCAUCAAGAAAGUGAAAAGAUAACUGUAAUGGGCUGAAUUGUAUUCCCCCCAAAUUCACAUGCUGAAGUCCUAAUCUCUAGUAUCUCAGACUGUGACUGUGUUUGGAGAUAAGGUCUUUGAAGAGAUGAUUGUCAAGCUAAGGCCCUUAAGGUGGGGCCCUGAUCCAAUAUAGCUAGUGUCCUCAGAAGAGGAAGAGACACCAAGGGAUACUUGCACAGAGGAAAGGCCACGUGAGGGCCCAGGGAGAAGAUGGUCAUCUCCGAGUCCAAGAGAGAGGCCUCGGGAGAAACCAGAUCUGCAGACACCUUGAUCUUGGACUUCUAGCCUCCAGAACUGUGAGAAAGAAAUUUCUGUUGUUUAAGCCACCCGGUUGUGACAUUUUGAUAUGGCAGCCUUAGCAAACAAAUACAAGAACCCACAGAACCCACAGAAUGAGGGGAAAUAUUUGCAAAGCACAUAUCUGAUAAGGGGCUUGUAUCUAGAAUAUAUAAGGAACUCUUACAACUCAGUAAUAGGCAAAUAACAAAAAAUGAACAAGGAGUGAGAAUAGACAUUUCUCCAAAGAAAAUGUGCAAAUGGCCAAUAAGCACAUGAGAAAAUGCUCAAUAUCAUUAGCCAUCAAGGAAAUGCAAUGCAAAACCCCAAUGCGGGGACUUCCCUGGUUGUCCAGUGGCUUAAGACUCUGCACUCCCAAUGCAGGGGCCGUAGGUUUGAUUCCUGAUCAGGAAACUAGAUCCUGCAUGCCACAAUUCAAGAUCCCACUCAAGGUUCCACAGGUUGCAACUAAAGACACAGGCACAGCCAAAAAAAAAAAAAAAAAAACCCCACAAUGAGGGGAUUCCCUGGCAGUCUAGUGGUUAGGACUUGGUGAUUCUACUGCUGGGGGCAGGUUCAAUCACUCUUCAGGGAACUAAGGUACCACAAGCUACCAGGCCAAAAACAAACGAAAACACCACAAUGAGAUAUACUUUCAAACUUACCAGGAUGGCUAUGAUCAAAAAGACAGAUAAUAACGAAUGUUGACAAAGAUGUGGAGAAAUUGGAAAUUUUAUGCAUUGCUGGUGGGAGUGUAAAAUGGUAUAGCCCCUUUGAAAAACAGUCUGGCAGUUCCCUAAAAUGUUAAACAUAGAGUUGCCGGAUGACCCAGCAAUCCCACUCCUAGGUGUAUACCCAAGAGAAGUAAAAACAAAUGUCCACACAAACUUGUACAUAAAGGUUCAUGGCAGCGUUAUUCAUUAUAGCCAAGAAGGGGAGACAACCCAAAUCUCUAUCAAAUGAUGAAUGGAUCUGGAAAACGUAGUGUAUCCAUACAAUGCAGUGUGAUUUGAUAGUCGAAAGGUAUGCAGGAUGAAUACAUGCCACAACAUGAACCUUGAA